CAUGCAAGUCGAACGAGAAUCUACUGAAGGAGGAUUCGUCCAACGGAAGUAGAGGAAAGUGGCGGACGGGUGAGUAACGCGUGAGGAACCUGCCUUGAAGAGGGGGACAACAGUUGGAAACGACUGCUAAUACCGCAUGAAGCAUAGGGGUCGCAUGAUCUUUAUGCCAAAGAUUUAUCGCUUCAAGAUGGCCUCGCGUCUGAUUAGCUGGUUGGCGGGGUAACGGCCCACCAAGGCGACGAUCAGUAGCCGGACUGAGAGGUUGAACGGCCACAUUGGGACUGAGAUACGGCCCAGACUCCUACGGGAGGCAGCAGUGGGGAAUAUUGGGCAAUGGGCGCAAGCCUGACCCAGCAACGCCGCGUGAAGGAAGAAGGCUUUCGGGUUGUAAACUUCUUUUAAGAGGGAAGAGCAGAAGACGGUACCUCUAGAAUAAGCCACGGCUAACUACGUGCCAGCAGCCGCGGUAAUACGUAGGUGGCAAGCGUUGUCCGGAUUUACUGGGUGUAAAGGGCGUGCAGCCGGGUCUGCAAGUCAGAUGUGAAAUCCAUGGGCUCAACCCAUGAACUGCAUUUGAAACUGUAGAUCUUGAGUGUCGGAGGGGCAAUCGGAAUUCCUAGUGUAGCGGUGAAAUGCGUAGAUAUUAGGAGGAACACCAGUGGCGAAGGCGGAUUGCUGGACGAUAACUGACGGUGAGGCGCGAAAGUGUGGGG
rnacentral:rRNA from 1 species